rnacentral:rRNA from 1 species
CCUACGGGGUGCAGCAGUGGGGAAUAUUGGGCAAUGGGCGCAAGCCUGACCCAGCAACGCCGCGUGAAGGAAGAAGGCUUUCGGGUUGUAAACUUCUUUUGUCAGGGACGAAGCAAGUGACGGUACCUGACGAAUAAGCCACGGCUAACUACGUGCCAGCAGCCGCGGUAAUACGUAGGUGGCAAGCGUUAUCCGGAUUUAUUGGGUGUAAAGGGCGUGUAGGCGGGAAUGCAAGUCAGAUGUGAAAACUAUGGGCUCAACCCAUAGCCUGCAUUUGAAACUGCAUUUCUUGAGUGCUGGAGAGGCAAUCGGAAUUCCGUGUGUAGCGGUGAAAUGCGUAGAUAUACGGAGGAACACCAGUGGCGAAGGCGGAUUGCUGGACAGUAACUGACGCUGAGGAGCGAAAGCGUGGGUAGCAAACAGGAUUAGAUACCCUUGUAGUC